rnacentral:rRNA from 1 species
GUAGGUGGCAAGCGUUGUCCGGAAUUAUUGGGCGUAAAGCGCGCGCAGGCGGUUCUUUAAGUCUGAUGCGAAAGCCCACGGGCUCAACCGUGGAGGGUCAUUGGAAACUGGAGAACUUGAGUACAGAAGAGGAAAGCGGAAUUCCACGUGUAGCGGUGAAAUGCGUAGAGAUGUGGAGGAACACCAGUGGCGAAGGCGGCUUUCUGGUCUGUAACCGACGCUGAGGCGCGAAAGCGUGGGGAGCAAACAGGAUUAGAUACCCUGGUAGUCCACGCCGUAAACGAUGAGUGCUAAGUGUUAGGGGGUUUCCGCCCCUUAGUGCUGCAGCUAACGCAUUAAGCACUCCGCCUGGGGAGUACGGCCGCAAAGGCUGA